rnacentral:lncRNA from 1 species
AUUAAUGAGCUCAUGAAAGAGAUUUUUUAAGAAUAAUUAUUGAGCUCAUGAAAGAGAUUUUUAAAUAUAAAGAUAUCUAUAUGUCACCUCAUUGUUAGUAUAUUUUAAUCUUUUUCUAAUGAAAAAUGCUUGAACACUUCUAUAAUUCUUAACACUAAUUUAACUAAUUACGUUGACUAAAUAUAUGUGAAUAUUAAUCAAUGUAGAUGCAUAUUACUACUUUUACAAACUAACCUAUCUCAUUUUCCUCAAAAAAAAAAAAAAAAACUAACCUAUCUCAUUAAGUAACCUCCUCACAAAAUCAUCAGCCCCCCUGAAUACUGCAUCGAUGUAGAAAGGGAUACACUUCAAACCUCUUUUAAAAUAAGUAUAAAUUAUAAAUUCAUUAAUUCUAGGAUUUGAAUAGUAC